CGGCGAGGCUUCCCUGUCCGUUAUCCAUGGGGGCACUCGAUCAUGCUGUGGGUCCUUGCGCAUUUGAACAGGGACCUUAGACGCGGGUCGUCAGGGGUAUGAUGUGAGGGCGGGUUAAAUGCCCG
rfam:Bacillus bataviensis LMG 21833 contig115, whole genome shotgun sequence.